UUNUUUUUUUUUUUUUUUUUUUUUGUUGCAGGUCUUGUCUCUGACAUCUCUACAGAAAUCCACAAACUAAAGCAGGAGGGAAAUAAAUAAGAGUGUAAAUACAGAUUUAAGAGAAUUUAUUAUAAAAUGUGACACAAAAGAGUUGGUGUCAGAAGGCAAUGCCUGAGAAGAAGAGAGAAAAAAAUAAAUAUAUUGUAUGUACGGUAUGAGCUUUUACUGUCUGCUUCCAUCUCUUCUUUUACUUUUUUGGUCAGGAUUUGGCAGACUUCUCCCUCCCAGCAACCCCCACUUACUAUUUGACCUUUUUGCUAUUUUGGAAAUUUAUAAAAAUGAGUGAUUCAGCUGCUCAGGAAGGCUCUUUUAAGUUCUGAUAAAAACAGAAACACUCCCUUCUCUUUUUAUCCUUUUCCUUCCCAGUUUCAGACUGUUACUGAAAUUUCUUUGUUUUAUUUCCCAAGUGCUUGCUUUACUGUUCUGUGCUUCCACUUUACAGUUUACUCUCCUGAACUAUCUAUUACUUUUGGCUUGCUGCUCUCUGCUCUCUGCUCUCUUUAAUUUUCUAUUAGCUCAUUAAGGAUUCUCUUCCUUAUUUUCACACUUUCUCUUACAUUGCCAUUCACUUGGAGAUGUUUUGUUUACCUUUUUGUGUAGUUUUGGAUUGUAUGGAUGAAGAAUUAGAGUAUACACACUUGUAUGUGUGUUACUUGUGUUCUAGUUUUGUGGGUUUAGAUUUGUAAAAGCUAUAGGUUGAAGACGACGAGUUUAAAGUCGUCUUGUGUUGUUCGUCAAAUAGUCUUCACUUAUAAUAAACACACAUAUCAAAGAUAGGCUUGGCUCGGUUCCACAGAUCUAGGCUAUCAGCCGCACCACUCGGAGUGUGAGCCACUCGAGUAGCAAGCUAUAGAGCUAAAGAUAGGAUUGAAGAAGGGGCUAGGCUCCUGGUGGAGCAGAGGAGACGGUUCCGAAAACGUAGCCUAAGCUCAUGGAUUAAGGCGACUUGAAUCAGUUGCUGGUUUUGUUUGAAGAGAGAUGGAAUGAAUUUGGAUGCUUGUGUUGCAAGUUUGGGAGUUGUAGAGAGCAGCACAGUGUUGGUAUGUGAAUCUGAAUGAAUGGCAGAUUGAAGCACAUGCAUAGGGCUUUUCAGGGUACAAAGAAGGGACCCCUCCCUCCACUCUUCUUCACCCUCUGCUGCCCCUGAGCUUUGCCAGUCUUACUUUUCCUCUUAAAAAUAAUUCCCCUUUUUCUAUUUUAUUUCCUUUCCCUUUCCACCUCACCAUCUGAUCUUCCUCAUUAAUUUUUUAAAUUACAACUUUAGUUCUUCGUUCUUGGUUUGGUUCGGGCUCCUCUUGAUCUUAUUCGUAUCAGAAUCUACAAAAAAACGAUCCAAUUCAUCAAUA